UAAGCCUGUGAAGGUGGCCUGUGAGGGUUGCUGGAGGUAUCAGAAGUGCGAAUGCUGACAUAAGUAACGAUAAAGCGGGUGAAAAGCCCGCUCGCCGGAAGACCAAGGGUUCCUGUCCAACGUUAAUCGGGGCAGGGUGAGUCGACCCCUAAGGCGAGGCCGAAAGGCGUAGUCGAUGGGAAACGGGUUAAUAUUCCCGUACUUGGUGUUACUGCGAAGGGGGGACGGAGAAGGCUAUGUUGGCCGGGCGACGGUUGUCCCGGUUUAAGCGUGUAGGUGUGUGUUCCAGGUAAAUCCGGUUCACUUUAACACUGAGGCGUGACGACGAGGCACUACGGUGCUGAAGCAACAAAUGCCCUGCUUCCAGGAAAAGCCUCUAAGCAUCAGGUAACAUCAAAUCGUACCCCAAACCGACACAGGUGGUCAGGUAGAGAAUACCAAGGCGCUUGAGAGAACUCGGGUGAAGGAACUAGGCAAAAUGGUGCCGUAACUUCGGGAGAAGGCACGCUGACACGUAGGUGAAGUGAUUUACUCAUGGAGCUGAAGUCAGUCGAAGAUACCAGCUGGCUGCAACUGUUUAUUAAAAACACAGCACUGUGCAAACACGAAAGUGGACGUAUACGGUGUGACGCCUGCCCGGUGCCGGAAGGUUAAUUGAUGGGGUCAGCGCAAGCGAAGCUCCUGAUCGAAGCCCCGGUAAACGGCGGCCGUAACUAUAACGGUCCUAAGGUAGCGAAAUUCCUUGUCGGGUAAGUUCCGACCUGCACGAAUGGCGUAAUGAUGGCCAGGCUGUCUCCACCCGAGACUCAGUGAAAUUGAACUCGCUGUGAAGAUGCAGUGUACCCGCGGCAAGACGGAAAGACCCCGUGAACCUUUACUAUAGCUUGACACUGAACAUUGAGCCUUGAUGUGUAGGAUAGGUGGGAGGCUUUGAAGCGUGGACGCCAGUCUGCAUGGAGCCGACCUUGAAAUACCACCCUUUAAUGUUUGAUGUUCUAACGUGGACCCGUGA
rnacentral:rRNA from 1 species